rnacentral:rRNA from 1 species
UACGUAGGUGGCGAGCGUUGUCCGGAAUUACUGGGUGUAAAGGGCGUGUAGGCGGGGAUGUAAGUCAGAUGUGAAAUUCCAUGGCUUAACUGUGGCGCUGCAUCUGAAACUAUGUCUCUUGAGUGCUGGAGAGGAAAGCGGAAUUCCUAGUGUAGCGGUGAAAUGCGUAGAUAUUAGGAGGAACACCAGUGGCGAAGGCGGCUUUCUGGACAGUAACUGACGCUGAGGCGCGAAAGCGUGGGGAGCAAACAGG